AUGUGUGUUAUAGAUGGAUCUGAGAACGCUGUCUGGGCUUGGUGCCAAGGGCUGGUAUUUCACAGCAGCGACCGCCUCACAGACGAGCUGUGGGAAGCAGGAGGGAGACUCUCUCUUAGGGUGCCACUACUAUGGAGACACAGCUGGGCUGAACAAGAUUUGCUUCAAACGACAACAAGAGAGACAGAAAGUAUCUGGUUCAACCGCUGCCCGAGCAGGCAGGCACCAGAAGAGCUAGCAGCCAAUCCGGCCAUGCUCGAAGCCAGCUCUGCAGCUCAGCCAAUCAGUGACAUCACUGCUUUCUUUAGCUUGCCCAUGGUGAUGUGAAGAUGAGAAGAAAUAGCAAGGCCCAACCAGUUCUUCAUCUGAAGACAGUUCAAUGUUCUGCAAACCAGGUAAAAAUAAUACAGACGAUUUUAGGAAUGCACAGUCCCUUUAUAAAAGAAACUAUUUCCUUUCUCAAGUUUGAUCUACAGAUUUUUGCAAGAAGCUAUAUUUAUCAUCUAAUGUGUAACUUGUUAAUAAACAUGACAUUAUAUCAAUUUCAAUGAUCUGUGAAGAGCAGAGCGACUAAAGCAUGCAUUUGUGUAGUGACUCAUGAAUAAAGUCAUAGUUGUAGUGUAACCUACUUUUAUGGAAAUAUUUUAAAGAAAAAAAGAGGACGUGGCUACUUGAUUUGCUUGUUAUAAUUCUAAACAAAGGAAAGAGGAGUGGGC
rnacentral:lncRNA from 10 species